rnacentral:rRNA from 1 species
CCUACGGGAGGCAGCAGUGAGGAAUAUUGGUCAAUGGACGCAAGUCUGAACCAGCCAUGCCGCGUGCAGGAAGAAGGCUCGAUGAGUUGUAAACUGCUUUUGUACGAGGGCAAACGCAGAUACGUGUAUCCGUCUGAAAGUACCGUACGAAUAAGGAUCGGCUAACUCCGUGCCAGCAGCCGCGGUAAUACGGAGGAUUCAAGCGUUAUCCGGAUUUAUUGGGUUUAAAGGGUGCGUAGGCGGUCGGAUAAGUUAGAGGUGAAAUCCCGGGGCUUAACUUCGGAAUUGCCUCUGAUACUGUUCGGCUAGAGAGUAGUUGCGGUAGGCGGAAUGUAUGGUGUAGCGGUGAAAUGCUUAGAGAUCAUACAGAACACCGAUUGCGAAGGCAGCUUACCAGGCUACUUCUGACGUUGAGGCACGAAAGCGUGGGGAGCGAACAGGAUUAGAUACCCGAGUAGUC